ensembl:lncRNA
UCUUACUAGUAAGAAAUCUAGUUACAGAGCUCUACAAUUGUAUUCUUAUUAGUAAAAACAUGUAUUCAGUAGAUGCAAAACAGAGUUACACCCAUUUCCCUGUCCAAGUCCCGCAUGUGGGGAUACACUUCAAAAUAAAAGCCACGUAAGCAUGAAUUGAUAGCAUUUUCAUUGUGUCAGAAUGACCAUAAGAGUGAGAUGACAGUUUGGAAAGGUUUUGUUUUAAUAUUUAAUCACUUCAUUAAUUCACACCUUUAUAUAAUUAUUAUUAGUAGUAACAGUAUUCUUUAUUUCAGACUCCCAUAUCACAAAAAUGAAAAUAAAGAGUAUAGUCUUGAAAAUACAUUGCCAGACAAAAUAUCAUCUCAUUUUGGUGUUUAUUAUGCACUGUAACAUGCAUAGAAUUUGAGCUAAAUACUAUAGGCCAAUUAAUAGGUUAAUCGUCACUCUUGACAAAAUGUCUUUCUUUCUUUUUUCCUUCCUUCUUUCUCUCUGUCUCUCUCUCUGUCACCUUAUACAGUCGGUCGCGACUGACCAAUCAGAAUCAGAAUCAACUUGAACUGGUUGAACUGGAUUUUUCUUCAUUUUGCCCACAGUCCUGUUAACACAACACCAUGUCAUGUUAUCAUUGUCAUGAGUGUAACUUUAAAUCCGCAUUUGCUGAUUUUUUAACAGUCCUUUAUCUGCUUAUCUUUGUUCUUACACCUCUCAUUGAGGAUUGACUUGCUCCAUUAUAUUAUCUCUUAGCGAGGGUGCAUUCAAACUUUCCAAUUAUCAUUCUUUCAUUAGACAUUCUGGGAGCCAUUUGUACAGUUUUUCCAACAUUGUGGUAUUUUUCAUGCCCUUUUUCAGGAGGAAGACAAACACAGAUAUUAUUAUUGCCCCAGCCAACUCUCCUCUCCAAUAUCCAAUGACAGGUUUCAGGGUAGCUCCUCUGAAGAAACGUUUGAUACCAGGUUUUGCUCUUCAAACACAAGGGAGAGGUAUAACAACCAACAAGAGGGAGGUGUACAAGAUUAAGCAAACAAUGCUAUUUGUGCUGUUUUUUGUUUUGUUUUGUUUUUUUAAGGACAAUUGUAGGUAAAAGCCCAAGUACACUGUAAGAAAAAAAAAGGUUUUUUGAAGUUGAAAAUAAAAUAAAUAUGUUUUACA